GCCCCUGUAGUAUAUUUAAUACUUUGGUCUUGUAAACCAAAAAUGGAGGUCAUUCUCCCUAGGGUA
rnacentral:tRNA from 1 species